UACGGGGGGGGCAAGCGUUGUUCGGAAUUACUGGGCGUAAAGGGCUCGUAGGUGGCCAACUAAGUCAGACGUGAAAUCCCUCGGCUUAACCGGGGAACUGCGUCUGAUACUGGAUGGCUUGAGUUUGGGAGAGGGAUGCGGAAUUCCAGGUGUAGCGGUGAAAUGCGUAGAUAUCUGGAGGAACACCAAUGGCGAAGGCAGCUCGCUGGGACGGUACUGACGCUGGAGACACGAAAGCGUGGGGAGCAAACAGG
rnacentral:rRNA from 1 species